GACGAACGCUGGCGGCGUGCCUAAUACAUGCAAGUCGAACGCAUUUUCUUUCACCGUAGCUUGCUACACCGAAAGAAAAUGAGUGGCGAACGGGUGAGUAACACGUGGGUAACCUGCCCAUCAGCGGGGGAUAACACUUGAAAACAGGUGCUAAUACCGCAUAAUUCCAUUUACCGCAUGGUAAAUGGAUGAAAGGCGCUUUUGCGUCACUGAUGGAUGGACCCGCGGUGCAUUAGCUAGUUGGUGGGGUAACGGCCUACCAAGGCUGCGAUGCAUAGCCGACCUGAGAGGGUGAUCGGCCACACUGGGACUGAGACACGGCCCAGACUCCUACGGGAGGCAGCAGUAGGGAAUCUUCGGCAAUGGACGCAAGUCUGACCGAGCAACGCCGCGUGAGUGAAGAAGGUUUUCGGAUCGUAAAACUCUGUUGUUAGAGAAGAACAAGGAUGAGAGUGGAAAGUUCAUCCCUUGACGGUAUCUAACCAGAAAGCCACGGCUAACUACGUG
rnacentral:rRNA from 1 species